CAGUCGCCGCGGUAAUACAGAGGGUGCGAGCGUUAAUCGGAUUUACUGGGCGUAAAGCGUGCGUAGGCGGCUUCUUAAGUCGGAUGUGAAAUCCCUGAGCUUAACUUAGGAAUUGCAUUCGAUACUGGGAAGCUAAAGUAUGGGAGAGGAUGGUAGAAUUCCAGGUGUAGCGGUGAAAUGCGUAGAGAUCUGGAGGAAUACCGAUGGCGAAGGCAGCCAUCUGGCCUAAUACUGACGCUGAGGUACGAAAGCAUGGGGAGCAAACAGGAUUAGAUACCCCGGUAGUCCCUGUCUCUUAUAC
rnacentral:rRNA from 1 species